rnacentral:rRNA from 1 species
UACGGGGGGGGGCAAGCGUUGUUCGGGAAUUACUGGGCGUAAAGGGCUCGUAGGCGCCAACUAAGUCAGACGUGAAAUCCCUCGGCUUAACCGGGGAACUGCGUCUGAUACUGGUUGGCUUGAAUCCGGGAGAGGGAUGUGGAAUUCCAGGUGUAGCGGUGAAAUGCGUAGAUAUCUGGAGGAACACCGGUGGCGAAGGCGGCAUCCUGGACCGGUAUUGACGCUGAGGAGCGAAAGCCAGGGGAGCAAACGGG